AAAAAGCAUGAUUUCAAGACUUAUCCCUUUCAUAGACAAAUGCCAAUUACAACAUAAUUUGACUACUAAAUUACUAAUCCCAUAAUGAAGAAUUCAACCUCCAAUUUUGGAUCAUCACAGAAUUGUUUACGUUAAUAUGAAACUCUCUAGCCAUACAAAGACAACAAGAAGUUUGAAUUCAACAGAUAAAAAUACAUAACCAUGUUCCUUUCAGAAAAAUACUCCUGUAAAUUUCUUCCAAGAAUUUCUGAUUACUUUUUUUUUUCUUUGUG
rnacentral:misc_RNA from 1 species